rnacentral:lncRNA from 1 species
UUAAAGGGUGGGGUUUAGGAUUUAGGGUUUAGGGUUUAGGGUUUAGAUUUUAGGGUUUAGGGUUUAGAUUUUAGGGUUUAGGGUUUAUGGUUUAGGGUUUAGGGUUUAGAGUUGAGAAAUGAGGUUUUGGGGAUAAGAUUUCAACUUUUGAAAAAUAAAAAAAAUUAAAAUUUUCAAAGGAUAAACUUAGAAAUGUGCUAUUUUGGUCAUUUUAGUUUUUGAGUGCUAUUUUUAUGAUAUAAACUUAGAAAGGUGCUAUUUUGG